CGUCGACCGGCGCACGGGUAAGUAACGCGUAUCCAACCUGCCCACCACUUGGGGAGUAACCUUGCGAAAGUAAGACUAAUACCCAAUGAUAUCUCUAGAAGACAUCUGAAAGAGAUUAAAGAUUCAUCGGUGAUGGAUGGGGAUGCGUCUGAUUAGCUUGUUGGCGGGGUAACGGCCCCCCAAGGCAACGAUCAGUAGGGGUUCUGAGAGGAAGGUCCCCCACAUUGGAACUGAGACACGGUCCAA
rnacentral:rRNA from 1 species